GUUUCGGGGCGGAGUGAAAUUCUCCACCGGCGGUGAUGAGCCAUGUGCUACGAGUCCGCGAGCGUUUUAGGUUUAAGCGCAGAUUCUGGUGAGAACCCGGAACCGACGGUAAAGUCCGGAUGAAAGAAA
rnacentral:ncRNA from 1 species